UACGGAGGGGCUAGCGUUGUUCGGAAUUACUGGGCGUAAAGCGAGUGUAGGCGGUGUGGUAAGUCGGAUGUGAAAGCCCCGGGCUCAACCCGGGAAGUGCACUCGAUACUGCCACGCUAGAGUAUCGGAGAGGUUGGUGGAAUUCUCGGUGUAGAGGUGAAAUUCGUAGAUAUCGAGAGGAACACCGGUGGCGAAGGCGGCCAACUGGACGAAUACUGACGCUGAGACUCGAAAGCGUGGGGAGCAAACAGG
rnacentral:rRNA from 1 species